rnacentral:tRNA from 1 species
UCGGUAAAAUGGCUGAGAAUAGGCGUUAAAUUGUAAAUUUAAUUACGAAUAAAAAUUCUUUUACC